rnacentral:lncRNA from 1 species
GAUGUCCUCUGCAGAUUUAAAAUGUGUGCCUUCUUUUCCGUCACCAAGUCAUCCCUGGGUUACUACUGAACAUCCUUCUCAAUUCCCCCCGACCCAUGGAUGGCUGUUCUCCAUUGUCUGUUUCACCAGAUGUCCUCAAAACAAACAGACAGAAGAAGGAAGUGGCUAAUGGAGCUGUGGAGUCCAAGUGUGACUGCCAAGAGGAAUCCAGCAAAGCCAAAAAGCCCAAGCAUGUAGCCCUGCCCGAAGCACGCCACACGCAUGGAAAACCCAGAGGAAAUGAGUGAGGAUCAAUGGGAAGAAGAGAGCCAGCCAGGUUCGAUGCCUUCUCCAUCCGUCAGUGAGGGUGUGGAGAGCCUGCAGGCGUGUGCCUCCCUCUGUAACUUGCUAUUCCUUGUGUAAUGUCAAGUGGAAGUGUGAAGCACCACAAACUGCUCUGAGCAGAGCCCACUUCCCUUCACCCACGGAGAGCGUGAAGCAGUUACACCAACAUCAAUCAAGGAAAACCCACAGGCUGAGCUCACACGGUUGAAGCAGGUGCGUGAGCG